rnacentral:rRNA from 1 species
CGGCGGACGGGUGAGUAACGCGUGGGUAACCUGCCUCAUACAGGGGGAUAACAGUUGGAAACGGCUGCUAAUACCGCAUAAGCGCACAGUACCGCAUGGUACCGUGUGAAAAACCCCGGUGGUAUGAGAUGGACCCGCGUCUGAUUAGCUAGUUGGUAGGGUAACGGCUACCAAGGCGACGAUCAGCAGCCGACCUGAGAGGGUGAUCGGCCACAUUGGAACUGAGACACGGUCCAA